AACGAACGCUGGCGGCAGGCCUAACACAUGCAAGUCGAACGGCAGCUCAGUAAGAGCUUGCUCUUACGGGUGGCACGUGGCGGACGGGUGACGUAUAUAUCGGAUUCUAUUUUUUAGUGGGGGAUAAUGUAGGGAAACUUCCGCUAGUACCGCAUACGACCUAAGGGUGAAAGCAGGGGUUCUUCGGACCUUGUGCGAUUGAAUGGGCCGAUGUCGGAUUGGCUAGUUGGCGGGGUAAAGGCCCACCAAGGCGACGAUCCGUAGCUGGUCGGAAGGGGUGGUCAGCCACAUGGGAAGUGAGAAAGGGUCCAGACACUGACGGGGGGACACGGUGGGGAAUAUUGGACAAGGGGGGCAAGCCGAAUCCAGGCAUACGGCGGGGAUGAAGAAGGCCUUCGGGUGGUAAAGCCCUGUUGUUGGUAAGGAAGUGCAGCAGUUUCAGACCCCGCUGUACUGACGGUACCCAAAGAAGAAGCACCGGCUAACUUCGUG
rnacentral:rRNA from 1 species